GCAUGGCUGAAUAAUACUGUGUCCUUUUAUCCAUAGUUUACACAGCCAGACACCUGUAAAUGCCUGUGAUGGUAUGGGGAGUUUCUCAUAGCUUAUCAUUUUCUAAAGUGGAUACAAAU